GAUCAUGGCUCAGGACGAACGCUGGCGGCGUGCCUAACACAUGCAAGUCGAGCGAGGAGAUCCCUUCGGGGAUGAACCUAGCGGCGGACGGGUGAGUAACACGUGGGCAACCUGCCUUAUAGAGGGGAAUAGCCUUCCGAAAGGAAGAUUAAUACCGCAUAACAUUACAUUUUCGCAUGAAGAAGUAAUUAAAGGAGUAAUCCGCUAUAAGAUGGGCCCGCGGCGCAUUAGCUAGUUGGUGAGGUAACGGCUCACCAAGGCGACGAUGCGUAGCCGACCUGAGAGGGUGAUCGGCCACAUUGGGACUGAGACACGGCCCAGACUCCUACGGGAGGCAGCAGUGGGGGAUAUUGCACAAUGGGGGAAACCCUGAUGCCAGCAACGCCGCGUGAGUGAUGAAGGUCUUCGGAUCGUAAAGCUCUGUCUUCAGGGACGAUAAUGACGGUACCUGAGGAGGAAGCCACGGCUAACUACGUGCCAGCCGCCGC
rnacentral:rRNA from 1 species